CACAAUUUUAGAAUAGAAUGGCCCAAUUUACUCAUACUCUCACCCAUCGGACUCCCUCUUCUUUCUUUCAUUUUCAAUCAAGACAAAAUUCCCAAUUUAGGGAUACAGCAGCAGCGGCUUCUCCCCCAAAUUCGCCGCAGCCGCUCCUCACUCCCUCCGGCGAGUCCUCCAACAUCGGCUUCUCAUUUUUUAGCUUUCCUCCUCGGCCUACCUCCACCGUUUCUUCUUCUCAAAUUUUCCAGAUUUGUAAUUCCUAGAUCGGAGAAUCGGGAGGCAGCGCCUCCGUCCGUCCUCGUCUCCAGCUGCUCGACGAGCAAACCCGCCGCCACCACUUCGAGCUCGGGAGGAGACAGCUGCUGCUCCGCGGCGGUCUCGGCUCCGUCGCCAGUCAUCUCCGGGCAGCCCCAUCUCCAGCUAAGUCACCUUUCCCCAAAUCCCCUUACGUAUUCCAUUAAUUUCAUAGUUCUCGAUUGAUUAUUGCUUUCGAUACUUGGGUGUUCAAAGUUUGGGGAUUGUACUGCUUAAUUCUAGCCGCCUAUAUUGCCAUGUAAACAGCUUGAUUCUUGAUAACUGAGUCAUUCUUAUUGUUGCUACGAGAUGAGAUUCCUAUUGAAUUUUCUAAGUUCUUGGCUAACACUGUGGUUGUUCUACACAUGAUGCAAAGAGAGUGUGUUGUGAAGUUACCUCUCGGUUAAGACUACCGCUUGUGUCAAUCCUUGCCCGACCUCACUCCCUGCUCCUUCCCCUUGCUGCCCUCCUUAUGCUAUGCGAAUCCUUGGUGCCUAAAGUGUGGGGGAUGAGGGCUGUUUAUAUAUAUCUCAAGUCUUGGCAUUUUGCCUGAAAUCCUUGGGAAGUGAUAUGCUAUUUCAGGUGCAAUGGCUAUCCAAGAUUGGAGUUUUGUGGGAGCAAGAAUCGAGAAGAGAGAAGGUGGAGAAAGAGGAAGGGGAUCUCUUCUUGUAGCUAUUUGGUUCCCAUACCAAAUUAGUUAACUUCUAGUUUUGCCUACUAGAGUUGGUAGGAUGAAAGAUGUAGUGUAGAUGUGUGUUGUCUCUUUCACACAUGUAAACAUGUACUAUUUGUAUCUCCAAAUUACUCUUCUAAUAAAAGCAUAUCAUUUACUUUUA